rnacentral:rRNA from 1 species
UAGCGGAGGGGGCUAGCGUUGUUCGGAAUUACUGGGCGUAAAGCGCACGUUAGGCGGCUUUGUAAGUUAGAGGUGAAAGCCCGGGGCUCAACUCCGGAAUUGCCUUUAAGACUGCAUCGCUAGAAUUGUGGAGAGGUAAGUGGAAUUCCGAGUGUAGAGGUGAAAUUCGUAGAUAUUCGGAAGAACACCAGUGGCGAAGGCGACUUACUGGACACAUAUUGACGGCUGAGGCGCGAAAGCCAAGGGGAGCGAACGGG